rnacentral:tRNA from 1 species
GAAGACUUAGUUAAAUAAUAACCUUAAUUUGUCAGAUUAAAAUUAAACAGCAUUUUAAAAGUUUAGUCUUUU